rnacentral:misc_RNA from 1 species
GUCACUUCCGGUUAACAUACCGGAUUGGUCGAAGAUAUUGAAAGACGAAUACAGGGAGAAUCGAAGGAGAGAGGUCGACGACGAUGACGAUGAUGACGUGGACGGCGAGGAUUAUUUCGAUGGAGGAGCGAGAGUUCCACCGCACGAGUUUUUGGCCAGACAGAUGGCGAGGACGAGGAUCGCAUCGUUCUCGGUGCAUGAAGGGGUAGGGAGGACUUUGAAAGGGAGGGAUCUGAGCAGGGUUAGAAAUGCAAUUUGGGAGAAAACUGGGUUUCAAGAUUAAAAAAAAAAAUCCACAAAUGAAGGGUUUUUUGUUUCCUUCCUUAUUUUAGAAAUAUCGGAAAAAUAACAGAAUUUAUAGAGAGAAAUUCAUCAGCACAGAUUUUCUAGAGAAAGUGACAGAUGGGUUUUUUAACUUUUUUUUUUAUUUUAAGAUUAAAGAACUUUUAUGCGUGUGAUAUGAUGUUAGUGUAGAGAUUGUAUGAGAAAUUUGCGUAGAAAAUCUCACUGUUAUUAUUAUUGUUUUAUCAAUAAAAUUGUAGAGAUUUUAUCAAUGAACUAAAUGAAGAUUAUUCAUUAAUUAGCUCUUA